rnacentral:rRNA from 1 species
GUCCAUCAUUCAGUUGGGCACUCUAGAGGGACUGCCGGUGUCAAACCGGAGGAAGGUGGGGAUGACGUCAAGUCCUCAUGGCCUUUAUGCCCAGGGCUACACACGUGCUACAAUGGGCGGUACAAAGAGCAGCGAGCUCGCGAGAGUAAGCAAAUCUCAAAAAGCCGUCCUCAGUUCGGAUUGGAGUCUGCAACUCGACUCCAUGAAGUUGGAAUCGCUAGUAAUCGCGGAUCAGCAUGCCGCGGUGAAUACGUUCCCGGGCCUU